rnacentral:rRNA from 1 species
AGAGCAUUUGGUGGAUGCCUUGGCAUCAGGAGGCGAUGAAGGACGCGAUAGUCUGCGAUAUGCUUCGGGGAGCUGGCAAAUAAGCUUUGAUCCGAAGAUUUCCGAAUGGGGAAACCCUUCUUGGUAAUACCAAGAAACUUUUAUCUGAAUAUAUAGGGUAAAAGAGCGAACGGCGUGAACUGAAACAUCUAAGUAGCGCCAGGAAAAGAAAAUGAAUAUGAUUCCCGUAGUAGUGGUGAGCGAACUGGGAAAAGCCUAAACCUAUGUCAUGUAAGCUUGCAUGCGUUGUGAUAUUGGUGUAGUGGGGCAUAAUUUGUAAAAGAUGCAACUUUUACGCUGGUGUUUUUAUGUUAGUAGAAUUGCUCUGGAAAGGGCAGCCAUAGAAAGUGACAGCCUUGUAUAUAAAAACAUAAACAACACAGUUAUUGUGUACCCGAGUACCGCAGAGCACGUGAAAUUUUGUGGGAAUCCGCCCCGACCAUGGGGUAAGGCUAAAUACUACCUGAUGACCGAUAGUGAACUAGUACCGUGAGGGAAAGGUGAAAAGAACCCCGGGAGGGGAGUGAAAUAGAAACUGAAACCAAGUGUUUAUAAUCGGUGGAAGCGAUGUAUAUGUACGCGCAACCACGUGCCUUUUGCAUAAUGAGCCAACGAGUUAUUCUUAUACUGCGAGAUUAAGUCUAGUAAGGACGAAGUCGUAGCGAAAGCGAGUCUUAAUAGGGCGUUUAGUAGUAUGAGAUAGACCCGAAACCUAGUGAGCUUUCCAUGUCCAGGAUGAAGUCUUAGUAAAAUAAGAUGAAGGUCCGAACCGGUGUAGGUUGAAAACUGCUCGGAUGAGGUGUGGAAAGGAGUGAAAGGCUAAUCAAACUAGGAAAUAGCUGGUUCUCCCCGAAAUAUAUUUAGGUAUAGCCUUGUUGAAUUAACCGUAGGGGUAAAGCACAGUUGAGAUUUUGGGGUCGCAAGAUUACCGGAUCUUUACUAACUCUGAAUACUACGGUUUUAGAAGACAGGAGUCAGACUGCGAGAGAUAAGUUUCGUAGUCGAGAGGGAAACAGCCCAGAUCGCCGGUUAAGGUCCCAAAAUAUCCAUUAAGUGGUAAAAGAUGUGGAAAUGCAUAGACAGCCAGGAGGUAGGCUUUAAGGCAGCCACCCUUUAAAGAAAGCGUAAUAGCUCACUGGUCAAGGGUUUCUGCGCUGAAAAAUAAACGGGGCUAAAUGGAUUACCGAAACCGCGGCUUGUAUAUUAUUUCGAUAAUGUACAGGGGUAGGGGAGCGUUCAUUAACAGAUACAAGCUUGACUGUAAGGACAAGUGUCGUUGGUUAGUGAAGUGAGAAUGUUGGCAUAAGUAACGAAAAAACAGGUGAGAGUCCUGUUCGCCGAAAGUCUAAGGUUUCCGAGAGAGCGGAUUAUCCACUCAGGGUUAGUCGGCCCCUAAGUCGAGGCCAAUUGGAGUAGACGAUGGAAAACGGGUUGAAUAUUCCCGUACCACUUAUAAGCGUUUGAGUGAAGGGGUGACGCAGGAGGAUAGGCUAAUUUGACGUAUGGAUGUCAAGCUAAGCACAAAGAUAGAUUCUAUAGGCAAAUCCGUAGAAUUGUUGAUUUGAAGUGUUAUGGGCAUUUUGAUCCCUAGUGGAGAUAAGUGUUUAGUUGAUUCCACGCUGACUAGAAAAACCUCUAGCGAGCUUUAUAAGUGACCGUACCGUAAACUGACACAGGUAGACGAGUAGAAUAUACUAAGGCGUUGAGAUAACUAUCAUUAAGGAACUCGGCAAAAUAGCUCCGUAACUUCGGGAGAAGGAGUACCUAAGGUGUGUAUGCACUUUUAGGUUUCAAUAAAUUGGCCCAGCCGACUGUUUAGCAAAAACACAGGGCUCUGCAAACUCGAAAGAGGAAGUAUAGAGUCUGACGCCUGCCCAGUGCUGGAAGGUUAAUAGGAGGUGUUAUCUUCGGAGAAGCUCUGAAUUGAAGCCCCAGUAAACGGCGGCCGUAACUAUAACGGUCCUAAGGUAGCGAAAUACCUUGUCGGGUAAGUUCCGACGCGCAUGAAUGGCGUAACGAGUUGGGCGCUGUCUUGAUGAUAGACUCAGUGAAUUUGUAGUACCGGUGAAAAUGCCGGUUACCUGCGGCUGGACGGAAAGACCCCGUGCACCUUUACUAUAGCUUGACAUUGAUUUUUGGAUAAAUCUGUGUAGGAUAGGCGGGAAACUGUGAUGUUAAGGCGCUAGCUUUAACGGAGUUGUCCUUGAAAUACCGCCCUUGUUUGUUUGAAAAUCUAACCUUGAAUAUCCGUAAUCCGGACAAGGAACAGUGUCUGGUGGGUAGUUUGACUGGGGUGGUCGCCUCCCAAAGAGUAACGGAGGCAUUCAAAGGUUCCCUCAUGGCGAAUAGAAAUCGCUUGAAGAGUGUAAAAGCAGAAGGGAGCUUGACUGCGAGACAUACAGGUCGAGCAGGUGCGAAAGCAGGAUUUAGUGAUCCAGUGGUUCUGUAUGGAAAGGCCAUUGCUAAAUGGAUAAAAGGUACGCCGGGGAUAACAGGCUGAUCUCCUCUAAGAGUCCAUAUCGACGAGGAGGUUUGGCACCUCGAUGUCGGCUCAUCGCAUCCUGGGGCUG